AUUGAACGCUGGCGGCAUGCCUUACACAUGCAAGUCGAACGGCAGCGGGCCCUUCGGGGUGCCGGCGAGUGGCGAACGGGUGAGUAAUGCAUCGGAACGUACCCGGGAGAGGGGGAUAACCGGCCGAAAGGCUGGCUAAUACCGCAUGAACUCGGAAGAGCAAAGCGGGGGACCUUCGGGCCUCGCGCUCUCGGAGCGGCCGAUGUCCGAUUAGGCUAGUUGGUGGGGUAAAGGCCCACCAAGGCGACGAUCGGUAGCGGGUCUGAGAGGACGAUCCGCCACACUGGGACUGAGACACGGCACAGACUCCUACGGGAGGCAGCAGUGGGGAAUCUUGGACAAUGGGCGCAAGCAUGAUCCAGCAAGGCCGCGUGGGUGAAGAAGGACUUCGGGUUGUAAAGCCAUUUCGGCGGGGAAGAAAUCGGUCAGGCGAAUAGUCUGGCCGGAUGACGGUACCCGCAGAAGAAGCACCGGCUAACUACGUG
rnacentral:rRNA from 1 species